GACUAUUCCGGUUGCCUAAGUGGUUAGAGCGUCCGCCUCAAAUGCGGAAGGUGGCGAGUUCGAACUCCGGCCGAGUCA